rnacentral:lncRNA from 1 species
CCCGUGACAAUGGGCUGGUUCAACUGGUGGUCUGACCUGUUGCCUAGCAAAUAUAGCCCAUAAUACUUGUUUUGUAGAACCUUGUGACCUUUCCAGUCUGCUACACCCUGUUUGUACUUUACCUUGUGACUUUUCCAGUCUGCUACACCCUGUUUGUACUUUACCUUGUGACCUUUCCAGUCUGCUACACUUGUAUUUUUGGUUUCGGUUUUAGCCUAUAUAUACCCCACCCUGAAAAAUAAACGGGGCCUUGCUACGGUAGAGCAUGAGCCUGGAACUAAAUUCGUGAAACUGCUCUCCUGUUGUUCUUCCCUCGGGUUUGGGACCUGCUGGCAGGAUUCUGAUGUUGCAGCUCGUGACAAGGGCACAAACAGAAGUAUUUGAAAUAUCUUGUGAUUUUUUUCAAAUUCAUAACAAUCAAAGCAGGAUCUUUUGGUGACAAUGAACUGACCUCUCCAACUAUGGUUGUGUGAUUACAAACUAUAGUCAUUGCAGAAAACUCCAGCACAAAGUCUGAUCAAGCAAUCACAUGAAGAAAGCACCUUUUCUCCCAGUCAACAUUGGCCUUCUUUCCCCCGACUGCUCCGCAGAAUCCCCCAGUGAAUCUUUUCCCAUCUGGCUCCGAAAGUCAAGCUUUCCACAACUCCACUGGGGCCUUCAUAUUCAUGAAAGUUCUUGCCACUUUGAACCUGAUCCACAAUCCGCAGCAUCUGUCUCUGAAACAAUUGUGACACUUUCCUCCUUAAACUAUUCAAGCAUCAACUAUUUAAGAAUCCGGUCUUAAAUCUUGAGCCCAGCAUUGCAGAUUUUCUGUGACGCAAACCUUACAUUUCCUACCCAAGCACUGAGCCAUCUUCAAAUCAAACAUUGUAAGAAAAGGUAAUGAAUGGUGUCUUGUCUUUUCCUCUGUAAACUGUGUGCAGUUUAAGGUACAGCGUAUAUGCUUUGUGAAUUAAAAUCUGAAUGAAUAAAAAGUGAUAUUGUAUUCAUUACUGAAUGACAUCUAGUCUUUUUCUGUUUCUAUGAAUUUAUGUUUUCACCUUUCCUAAAUUUUUGUGUCCUUUCCUCCUCCUCCUUCCUCCUCCUCUCUCUCUCUCUGGCUCUGUCUCUGUCUUUCUCUGAAAACUUCCAAGAGGUAUAUACCAUAUUUCAUCCUUACUAAAUUCCCCAAAGUGCCUUAUUCAUUGUGGACACUCUUUCAGUCCUCCCAGAAAGCGCUGCCCUUCAGAGAGGGGUGCAAGUUCAGCUGGGACUGAAACCUUCCUCUUGUUGGGUUAAGUAUCAGAUGGGUUUCAGAAAAUAAUGUCUUUAUUUUUAUUCUCAAUUUAUGUGCAAAAACAAGAGUAAGAUUCUAAAUGGAAGUACAGUAGGGAUUUGUUUAGUUUCCCACUUCUUAAAAAUGAAAAACAGUAACACUUUAGAUUUUUAAACAACAGCAGAGGUAAUUCAUG